UCCAGACUCCUACGGGAGGCAGCAGUGGGGAAUAUUGCACAAUGGGGGAAACCCUGAUGCAGCGACGCCGCGUGAGCGAAGAAGUAUUUCGGUAUGUAAAGCUCUAUCAGCAGGGAAGAAAAUGACGGUACCUGAGUAAGAAGCUCCGGCUAAAUACGUGCCAGCAGCCGCGGUAAUACGUACGGAGCAAGCGUUAUCCGGAUUUACUGGGCGUAAAGGGAGCGUAGGCGGCCUGCCAAGUCUGAUGUGAAAGGCCGGGGCUCAACCGCGGGGCUGCAUUGGAAACUGGCAGGCUGGGGUGCCGGAGAGGCAGGCGGAAUUCCUAGAGUAGCGGUGAAAUGCGUAGAUAUUAGGAGGAACACCAGUGGCGAAGGCGGCCUGCUGGACGGUGACUGACGCUGAGGCUCGAAAGCGUGGGGAGCAAACAGGAUUAGAUACCCCGGUA
rnacentral:rRNA from 1 species